CGAUAAGCUGCGGGGAGCUAGCAAACAAGCUUUGAUCCGCAGAUUUCCGAAUGGGGAAACCCGGCCUUUUAGGUCAUUGCAACCUGAAUACAUAGGGUUGCAAAGCGAACGCGGCGAACUGAAACAUCUAAGUAGCUGCAGGAAAAUAAAUCAACCGAGAUUCCCAAAGUAGUGGCGAGCGAAAUGGGAAGAGCCUGUACGUGAUAGUCGAUUGAAUAGUGGAACGCUCUGGAAAUGGCGGCCAUAGCGGGUGAUAGCCCCGUACACGAAAUUCAAACGGUGGUACUAAGCGUACGACAAGUAGGGCGGGACACGAGAAAUCCUGUCUGAAUAUGGGGGGACCAUCCUCCAAGGCUAAAUACUCGUAAUCGACCGAUAGUGAACCAGUACCGUGAGGGAAAGGCGAAAAGAACCCCGGGAGGGGAGUGAAAUAGAUCCUGAAACCGUGUGCAUACAAACAGUAGGAGCGGACUUGUUCCGUGACUGCGUACCUUUUGUAUAAUGGGUCAGCGACUUACAUUCAGUGGCAAGGUUAACCAUAUAGGGAAGCCGUAGAGAAAUCGAGUCCGAACAGGGCGAUAGUCGCUGGGUGUAGACCCGAAACCAAGUGAUCUACUCAUGGCCAGGAUGAAGGUGCGGUAACACGCACUGGAGGUCCGAACCCACUAAUGUUGAAAAAUUAGGGGAUGAGCUGUGGGUAGGGGUGAAAGGCUAAACAAACUUGGAAAUAGCUGGUUCUCUCCGAAAACUAUUUAGGUAGUGCCUCAAGUAUCACCAUCGGGGGUAGAGCACUGUUAUGGCUAGGGGGUCAUCGCGACUUACCAAACCAUUGCAAACUCCGAAUACCGAUGAGUGCGAGCUUGGGAGACAGACGUCGGGUGCUAACGUCCGGCGUCAAGAGGGAAACAACCCAGACCGCCAGCUAAGGUCCCAAAGAUUGGCUAAGUGGAAAACGAAGUGGGAAGGCUAAAACAGUCAGGAUGUUGGCUUAGAAGCAGCCAUCAUUUAAAGAAAGCGUAAUAGCUCACUGAUCGAGUCGUCCUGCGCGGAAGAUGUAACGGGGCUAAGCCAGUCACCGAAGCUGCGGAUAUCC
rnacentral:rRNA from 1 species